rnacentral:misc_RNA from 1 species
GCAAAACCCAAUUCUCAAUCUCCAUUCUCUACAUCAACCCACUCCUUAAUACCCACUUACCAAUCUAACCAUUCUUGGCACCACCAAGCAUACUAGCCUUUCUUAAGGAAGCAAACAACUCGACUAACAGAAAACUGAAGACCAACCUUUAGAGAUGAUGUUGCAUAUAAUUUUUUAGUUUUAACAUUAGACAAUAUUUUGUUUCGUUACUACAAAUGUUAUUAAGAUGUCGAUCUUAUGUAUGAAGGUGAGGAAAGUUGAUUUCAUGAAGGUAUGUGUGUUUCAAGGGAUGUGAGGUCUAUGUGGGUACUAUGUAUCGUGGGGAAUGGCGGUGAUAAAAGCAGCAUUGGGAGAGAGGGAUAACAAAGGGGGUAGAGGGAAAUAACUGGCCUAUGGGAUGCUAUGGAACCAAACAAAGUUAGAUGGUGGGGCGAGAUUGUGUGUGGAGGUGGCAAGAGAUAGGGAGUUAAGCGGUAGUUGAGGAGAGAGAGUCGAACUUUGAUGGGCGAUGCUAUCGAGAUGGGCAAGGAAAAUGGUUUCAUGAUCAAGGUUUGUGUUUGCUAAGAUGAGGGAAAUGGGUCAAAGGCGAAAUAGAGGUGUUAUUGCGUUGGAUGGAGGUACAUGUGUUUGAGAGGGAGGGUGAAAGGGGGAGAAUUUGAGAGAAGAGAGAGUGACAUGGAGGAGAGAGAAAUAUGAGCACGAAGAUGACACAUCAACAAUUUACCUAUAAGUCAAUUAUAACAGGUGAUGAGGAGUUUCGCAUUAAACAAAUUGAUAUUUAUGGAGUUUGAUGUUACAAAUUAAAGUUACUAAGAAGGCACAUUAAAUAAUGGUUUAGUAACUUUAUAUUGCUCG